CCAACAUAGGCAAUGAGAGUGAAGCUCCAUCUCAAAAAAACAAAAACAAAAACAAAUGUUCUUUCAUAAACUUUGCAUGAACUUUGCAUGGAUGGCUCCUUCUCCUCCCACCAAGUUUCAGCUCAAAUCUGUUGCUCUUGACUACAUUAGUGCAUUUAUUUCUAUUAUAACGCUUGCCACACUCCAAAAUCACAUUGUCUUAUUUUUUGUGUUAUCAUCUGCUCCUCUUUUGGAAUUUACUUUCCAUGAAGAGGGCUGUUGUAUUGUUUAUAAUCCCCAGUAUCUGGUGUAUAUAGCCUGGCACAUAGGAGGCUGCAGAUAAAUAUGUUUUGAACAAAUAAGUGAAUUUCCUUUCAUCCCCUUCUUCUCCCCUAAUAAUAAAGAAACAACAUAACCCAUAUGUUUUGAGAACUUUGAGUCACAUAGCUUGGAACCCAAUGUUUGAUCUUCUUUCUCUGCUCUACUACCUGAUAAAACACUCAGUGCAUUAGCUAAGGUUAACUACGCUUGGCUUCUUCAUGCCUCGCUAUGCAGUGCCCCGGCUUUUCACUAUAGUUAAAGCUUUAUUUAAGGCCCUGGCAGAGGCCACAUCAAUUCUUUCAAGAAAUGGAUGAAAUGAUCCCAGUAACUAUUAGUAGAGAUAAAAGUGAUGCAAAGCACGUCACUUGCUUGCUUUUCAGUUCAAAGAGCUCCACCAAGCUGCUCACUCUUAUUUUUGUCGCUACAGAGUGGCCUGUUUGGGCAUGAGCUCUUAAGGAUGUGUCUGAGGGCUUGGAGGAGCUGGACCAGUUUUAUUUCACGGCAUUCUGUAGGCUGGACCAGGGACUUUGGAAAUUUCUUAACUCAUCCCUUCCUAAAAGACACAAAAUAAUUUGCAUGUGUACCUGAAGAGAUAAAUCAACAGAAGACAAGGGUCAGUCACAGUUAAGCUUUUUAAAAUUAGGCACUCUGUUUGCAGAGUCACAGCCCCAACUACAGAAUCACAGUCUCCUGCUGAGGGGGUUUUGAUCUCUAAAUUGAGCAAGUACCCCAGCUGAUUCUUAUGAGCAGGCAAGUUAGGGAACACCUGAUGUAAUAAGUAAGUGUAUCAAAUCAAGAGUUGAUUUAAUAUAGCACAGGUUAAAAACGGGUUUUCUUUUUGUGAGUGGGAUAAAUACUUUUGUAAGAAAUCAAGUGAAAUAUCUUUUGGGAAGAUUUCUUGAGCUAUAUAUUAUUCAUCCUAGACAUUCAUAGUAUGAGAGGAGACUCAUGAAGCUGGGUAGCUAAUCUCGUCUUUGAAUUCCUUAGAAAUAGAUGAGCAAAUCUUCACCAGCACCUUGCCCUGCGAGAUACUAAUUAAAGGGUGGUUGUUUUUCAGAACGUCUAACUUUCGCCUCACCACUCUCAAACACACCUCAUCCUACCCAUCUACUUUUCCAUUUAUAAUAGACCUUUUUUUUUUUUUUUUUUUUUUUUUACCUUGGAAGGACUGUAUUCUCAAAUGCCAGAAAGAAUAUCAAGUCUCACAGAUUAUUCAGAAAUUCUUUCUUAACAGCUUAAUUGCUGACUUCAGUUAUCUAUUAACUCUGCUGGUUUGAAUGCAGCUGAGAGAUUUAUAGCAUCAACCCAGAGCUAUGCCAUUUACCCCUUGAAUUGAGCUUUCAUUCUAGGUUCUUUUGGUGACUAUUCUAGGGCACAGCUUCUAAGAGGAAGGAACAUUUUGCCUGACUGCUCCUGAAAUUUUUAUAUCUAUGUAUCAGGACAGCAUAAGGAGAUUUUAAAAAAACACAUAUUCCAGGUUCCUGCCUUGGUCCUAAAAUGAUAAAAUCUCCAGGGAAAGAGCUGGGAAGCUUUAUUUUAGCAAAAAUCCCAGGGGAUUGUCCUGCCUCCAGUCCUGCACCAGCCUUGGACUAUGCCAGCAUUGAGAAUCAUCUGACGUAAUCAACACUGAAUUCAGACACAGGAUACUAGGAGAAGUUGGUAGUCUGCAACCCAGAAGAGGGCCCUCCCCAGAAGCCAACCAGGCUGGCACCCCGAUCUUGGGCUUCCAGCCUCCAGAACGAGAUACUAAUUCAUCAAUUCAUGCUUGAUACUUGGAAAGAAGCUAUACAAUGCUCCCCCCUCCCCAGUCUCCUGGAGUCAACAUUGAGUAUUUUUGACACACUCAGGAUGUCUUCCACAUGGGCUCACAAAUAAUAGAAGACUCAUCAGCUUUCACAUGGCAUCCGUGUUUUUUCCUCCUGCCUCAAGGCAAUUAAUUUAACAACGGAGUCUCUGUCACCCAGGCUGAAUCGCAGUGGCACA